rnacentral:sRNA from 1 species
AAGUAUUUUAGUUUGUUAGAUAUUCAGUAACAAAAUUUCCGCAAAUGCAUUAAUUUUCAACCGCUAAAUUAAUCGUUCAAAUUGUUUAAUAACGCUUGAGACGGCAACCGCCUACUUCCGCAAAUUCAUAUAGUCAUAAUCGGAUUUUAGCGUUUAAACCACGAGUCUGGCCUUAGAUCAAAGAAAACCCUACUUAUAGUCAACCCUAAUCCAUGAUACCAAAUGGAGAAAAAAAAAGAAAGAAAAAAUGGAAAUUUCCCAAAUUAACACACCCAUAACUCAAACUUGUCUCAAACCUCAGAUUAUAU